GGGCCUUUGUUUAGGCUAAUGCCGAAGUGCCCACAAGUCGACUUUCUAUAAAGAAGAGGGUGGGAUUUCAUUGUACUUAAACCAUUCUAAACUCUGCAUCACCGUAGUCUCUAGUGCCAUCCUGGGUUUGAAAAACAGACUUUGAGACUGCUUUAAUCAGUUUAUAUCCUAUCAAUUCGCCCCUUAUUUUAUUACUACAGAUAUUGCAGGAGAUUUUGCUACAUUAAUACAGAGACAGUUCAGUGGCUGAAUACAAUCACAGAAGAGACUGCUCCCUUUCAGUUCAUCCGCUUCAAGUCUUUUUGAAUUCUUUACGCUGUUGAUAAUGAGAUGGGGUCAAGCAGAUUAUUCACUUCCUGUUCUGUCGCUGCUUUGUGUUACUAAGAGAGGAAGUUAAAACCGAAAAAAGAAGACACAGAAUAAACAAACCCAGAGCCCACAAAGUUCAACAUUUAGAUGUCGUGUUUUUUCUUUAACUUUCCUCUGAUCAACCACAAGAAGGAUUCCUUAGACAGUUGAACUUUUUCCCAACCAAGCCUUGAAAUAUCUUAUAGGCUUUUUUUAUGCGGUAUUUCAAAUUUGUAAGGCAACAAGAAAAGAUUCCUUUAACAUAGUUUCAUUUUCCGCACAAUGCUCCGAAAGCCAUUGUGUUAUCUAAAUCAUUGUAUUCCUGAGCUACUAAUAACUAGUGUUGCAGAGAUUUCAACUGCACCCUAUAUCAGGUUGUUUUCUCAUGGGUUAUGUAUUGUAAAAUCAACUGGAUUUACCAUGUAUAUAAAUGUCCCUAUAAAAAGGCCAAUUUCAACUAUUAAUCUCCCAUCUACCCUUUUGUUAUUUUAAACCCUCUGCAACGCAGUACGGAGGAGAACUCCUUGCCUCCUGUAACCCCCGGUCAGAUAGAUUACACAGUUCAUACUACUCUUAUUGCAAUAUCACAUUCAGAAUGCCUUUGUACUCAGAUGGACAAUAUGUCAUUUUGGAUUUACUAUCAAGAAGAAUGGAUGAAAUUAAUUUAAAGAUCACGGUUCUUUGUUUAUGGAAAACUAGGAGGUGCACCGAAAUAUAAAUUUUUGUGUCGAAACUGAAAAUUCAUGAUGCAUUUGGCCGAAACUGAAAAUCAGUCUUUAAAAAAAUAUAUAUAAAAUUGUAUUAUAUUCGACUAUUUAAUAUCAUGAAUUUAAAUUAA